rnacentral:piRNA from 1 species
UACCUGACUAGACCUUAGUCUUGGGACAGC